GCACUCUCGCAUAUCUAAUAAGGGAUAUUGAUUUUGUUCAUCAUUUUUGAUAUAGUUCUCUUGAUUUUACAAGGUGUGUGAGAAUGGUGAGAGGAAAAACUCAGAUGAGGCGUAUAGAAAACGCCACCAGCAGGCAGGUCACCUUUUCCAAGAGAAGAAAUGGGCUGCUGAAAAAAGCUUUUGAGCUUUCAGUUCUUUGUGAUGCUGAGGUUGCACUGAUUAUCUUUUCUCCCAGAGGCAAACUCUAUGAAUUUUCCAGUUCAAGGUAAGAUCUAUGUGUUUUCGGUAAUUGAAUUUACUUAUAUUUUUAUCAAGAAAAUGCUAUUUUUCAUGCUGCUUGGAUUAAUGAUUCAGAUUUUUUGUGGGUUUUAUGAAAUGACCAAACUAGUAUUAAUCUGAAUCAGAUCUUACAGUUUUUAUCACCUAAAAAUGCCGCGUAGGGCUUCUGUCUGAUCAUGAUGAAAUUUUCUUUGUUGUUCGCUGUUAGGGUUACGACCAAACGGAAAAAUUUCCCAUGGAACAAAGAUCUUCAGAAAUGAACCAGCUUUCUCCCUAUUUGUUAAGAUAAUAAAUUCAAGUCCUUAUGCCACUUAUGAACAAUUUUGCUGCUGACUUAAGAACCCUAUUAAAAUUUUACAAUUUUGAUUGAGAUUCCAUUAAUUAAACCAAAAUUGAGGGAAGUACUACUGUUGGUUUCUUUUGGGUUUUGUUUAAUAGGAGGAAAUGAUUAGUAUUUAGCAUACUUAGAGUUAGUUUCUGCCUCUUAUCAUAAGAUUAACAUAAAAUAGUUGCUUAUAUAAUAGCAACUUAUAUGAUGUUAUUAAUUAAUUAACCCUUUGUUCGAAGUAAAUUUGAAAAUUUGAAGCCGGUUACGUUGAUAUUUAUAACACACUGCUAUAUCACUUUGAUCGCUAGAUCUACUUCUAUCUUUUAGUUUGACUUUUAAUACAAGGCAAAAGUAUGGGAUAUAAUCUUAUUACUAUGUUCAGAAUCUCAGUGUACUUCCAAGAAAACUACAGAGAACAAUCAACUAAGAUCACCAUGUAUUCUUAAUCGUGUUGUUUAUUUCCUAUUUCACUGCAUCACUAAUUCAAUUUACUCGUCUAAUCCCGUCCAUAUAUAUUUCAACUUGAAAAAUGUAAAGAAUAAAGAUAGAACCCUUCCUCUGUCUAUAAUUUAUUUUACUCUAACCUAAUCCCUUCCAUCAUUUCAACUUGAAAAAUAAAAGAUGACAAAUCAAUCCCUACUUAGUGUCUACAAUUCAAUUUACUCUUACUAAUACCGUUCAAAUGAGCUUGCAUUCAGUUUCAUUUUCAACUUGAAAAACGAAAAGAUAACCGGUAUCUAGAAGUAGUUUUACUCCUAUUAUCAUACUUUCACACAUACACCUUAGUGGGACACGGAAAUUUUUUAUUAAAUCGGUCAGUCUAAAAAUCCUUUGUAAAAAUGUCCCUAACUUGAGAGACUUGUAGGAUUUGACAACUUCUCCUUCUUGAUCAGAUGUCUAAGAAAAUAAGCUUAAUUCUUAUCUUUGCUUCUUCCAUGAAAAAGGGUAUUCUUAGGUGGAGUUGUUACUAAGUUAUUAACACAAAACAAAAUAGUCUCUUUCUCUUGAGGACGCUUCAAUGAGCUUGCAUUCAGUUUCAUUUUCAACUUGAAAAACGAAAAGAUAACCGGUAUCUAGAAGUAGUUUUACUCCUAUUAUCAUACUUUCACACAUACACCUUAGUGGGACACGGAAAUUUUUUAUUAAAUCGUUCAGUCUAAAAAUCCUUUGUAAAAAUGUCCCUAACUUGAGAGACUUGUAGGAUUUGACAACUUCUCCUUCUUGAUCAGAUGUCUAAGAAAAUAAGCUUAAUUCUUAUCUUUGCUUCUUCCAUGAAAAAGGGUAUUCUUAGGUGGAGUUGUUACUAAGUUAUUAACACAAAACAAAAUAGUCUCUUUCUCUUGAGGACGCUUCAAAUCCUUAAAUACCCUUCUCAACCAUGACCGAAAAAUAUAAUCAACUUCUAUAAUUGAGAUAGCUAUUAUAGGUUGCUUAUUCCAUGUCGAUGACACUAUCCAUGAGCCAAUGUUAAUAGCAUGUGCUGAAUUGUUUUUAUGAUCAUAACGUUACCAACCAAAUUGCUAUCAGUAUGACCUACCAACCAUAGUUAUAUCCUAAUCUUGUUGAGAAGUUCAUGAUCUAGUUUUUCUCACACGUGUUUGAGAACUUUCUUUCCAUCUUACCAAUCGUUUUGUUUUGGUGCUGCAAACAUGAGGUUUGGCCUUGUUGUGCUUUAGUGCAUAAGACUCCUCCCAUGGCCCGUGCUUAGUGUAGCUAAAAAUCAUAUUAUUAUUAGAUUUUGAUAAAAGUCGAUGAAAUGUUAGGUUGAAAAGUUGAUAAAAAUUGUGGGUUUCAUUUAAUAUGUAAUCCACAUCCGUUUUCUCAACUCUUUUAUUAUUGAUGCCUUGAAUUUAUCGCACAUCACAUUGUUGUUAGUUAUGAAAGUGAGAACAUGAACAAUCAACAAAUUUUUGAAAUACUAUUGUCUUCAUCUUCCUUCUUCGAGACUGCAUGUUCAUAGAGAAUACACUCUUUAAGACAAGUCAACUUUACAAGUCACUUGGAGCUUGCUUCAAUUUUUACAAUGCUUUCUUCCAUGGAAAAUCUUGUAUUCUUCUCCUUCCUUUUCAUCACCGAAGGGUUGCUUCACAUAAUUUUUUUCCUCUAUAAAGCCAUUUAAAGAUAUUGACUUCACAUCGAUUUGAUGGACUUUACAUUCUCUUUGAGUUGUUAUGGCAUUAAGUCCCUGUUUGGCCCCCAUUUUGUAAAUUCAUUUUCUCCUAGAGCUCAAUUUCAAUUAUAUAUUUAAUGGGAUCUACAACUUUUAUCUACUUUUCAAAUACAUAUUUCAUCAAUUUUUAUCAAAAUUUAUUAAAAUAUGUUUUUAGCUAAACAAAACAUGGGCUAAGUAAUUGGACUGUUUCAAUCUAACACCUCCAAGUCAAUCUCUUGUUUAAGAUUUCUAUGCUUUUACAACUAUGCUUGCUUUGUUAGCAUCAACUUCUCUUUCGAAUUCUAUAUUUUCUGCACACCAAUUUCACAACAGGCUUCUUAUCAUUUGAAAGUUAUGUCCUAUUUCCUUGGAUUGCAUCAAUCUGUUGAUUGGCAUUUUUUCCCUUUCCAUCUUAGGCGGUUUUCUCAAUUUUAUUGGUUUUUUGUCAACGAGAAAUAUAAAAUCUCUUGAAAGUUUUUUUUAUCUUUCAAAGUGGUUAAUCAUCACGAUUUGAACUUGAUAAAUUUUAAGAAUUAUAAGAGUUGCCGUUGCUUGCUCAACAUUUGGACUUCUUUUCUACUUCGAUUUCUAGAGCUUUUGCUUCUUCAUCCCAUUUUCAUGCUUCUUCUUCAUUAAAUUUUACAUAUCGACUAAUGAUGAUCUUGCUGUGGAUAAUGGGUGCAGAGAAAUUCAUUGAAGUCUUUAUUUUUUUGCUUAUUAAUAAGAAAAGUUCGCUGAUUAUUUUCAUUGAACGUGAAACUUGUUCAGCACACGGGAGACAAUAGAACGUUACCAAAGGAAUACUAAAGAUAAUCACACUGAAAACCCUUCGGAUGAACAAAAUAUGCAGGUUAUCUUCAUUUAAUUUUGUCAAAUACUUUUACAGGAUAGCAAGUUUUUUGCUACGUACCUUAUUAUCAAUCUAAUUAACUAUAGACAAAACUUGAAUGGUUUUUGUCACUGUAUUUAUUUGGAACUGCAGCAGUUAAAGCAAGAGACAGCAAGUAUGAAGAAGAAGAUAGAGCUUCUUGAAAUCUCUAGACGGUUCGUACAACCUGAUUUUUAACACUUAUUGCUUGGGAAAUUUUUUUCUAAAAAGCAUGUUUGGCUAAGCUUAAUUAAAAAAUGUAAAUUAAUUUUUCCAAAGUAAAUAAUGAGUAAUGUCGUAAAAAGUGAGAUUUUUGUACUGAAAAUUCAAAAUAACGAACUAGCAAAUGCUGGGCUAAGCUUUAAAUAAUUGAACUUAGAUCACAAGUUAAGAUUACAGUCAAAAGAGUAAUAUUUUAUACUUGUUAGAAAAAUAAUUAUGCAUUUAACAUAUUUAAUUUAGUUUAAUGAAUUUAGGAGUUUGAAAUACAUGUAUUAUUAAUUAAUAUGCACCUUGUUACAUGUAUGCAUGUAUUGUUAAUUAAUGUGUAUCUGGUAAAGUAUGGUGUAUGUAGUAGAAUUAAAUCGAGGAGAUGAACUUAUGUGAUAGGAAGUUCUAUAAAUACCUAUGUAAUCUUGAGUUGAAGACAUGUCCACAAUUAAAAAGAAAAUCAUUUCCUCCUCCUAAGUCCACAUCUAUUUCCUACAAUACUGAGAAGCAACUUUUAAGAACUUAAAGAAAAAGUUAAUUAAGAGUAACUUUUAAGCUUAACCAAACAUUCUUAACUGCAACCCUGUGUUGAAAAAUUCUAAACAAUGACCAUUGAUGCAUUAGGAGACUUUUGGGGGAAGGUUUGGGAUCAUGUUCUAUUCAAGAACUACAACAGCUAGAACAGCAGUUGGAGCGAACGGUCGGUAUCAUUCGUGCAAGAAAGGUAUUUUUGCAUAUUUAAGUGAUUAGUAUAUCUUCGUAAUAAAUUUCGUCAAUGAUCUGAUUAUUUUCUUUGUUUUUGAAGAUGCAAGUUUUCAGGCAGCAAAUUGAGGACUUGAAAGAAAAGGUAAAUUCCCUGAAGGAAAAAUAUGAUCACCUGAAGGUUCUUACCCUUUCAGUUUUGCCAAAUAUGAAAUAGGGUUAGGAUUAAUUAACUUGGAAAUACCAGAAUAUAAACUAAAACUUAGCCCAUUUAUCUUCUAUUUUUCAAUCACACAUUUCAUGGAACCCUUACUUUUAUCAACCGUCAACCUCACAUUUCCUCGAAUUUUAACAAAAACUUUUAUCAAAAUAACGGUUGAUCUGCUGUUUGUCAAUUAAGAUUUUUUUUUUUCCCCCGAAGACCUAUUCAAGUGUGUACGAAAAAAAUUGUAGUUCGUUUCAAAUUCAUUGGGAAUAAGGUUUACUAUUUUGUCGUAUACAUAUGCAUGUUGGCAUACAUGAGCACGAGUCGUGUAACAGAUUACCAGCUUCAGUAAAUGCUCAUACAAAACCUUUCCCAUCUUAUCAAAUGCAGGGAAAAGUCCUAGCAGUUGAAAAUGCAUUGCUGUGUAAGAAGGUGAAUCUCACCAUUUUCUGUGUAUAUUUUCUAGUUCAUUCUUUCUUAUUGUUUUCAUUAUUAUAUGAUUAUGUAAUUAUUAUAAAUCGAUUCGUUCUGUUAAAAUUUUGAGACAUUGAUUUGAGGUUUUGAUGGUUUAGUUUGGACUUGAACCACCACAAGGAUCAAAUGAAGAGAAAGCAACUGCAGCAUGUACAGAGAAUAGUGAAGUUUCAGAUGUUGAGACUGAAUUGUUCAUUGGACCUCCAGAAACCAGAAAUAAGCGUAAUUCUCUACAGAAAUGAUAAGACGAUUCAAAUGUUAAAAAGUAAAUUUUUACGAAUCGAUAGAAACGAUCGCUUGUUUGAUAAGAUGGGUUAUUGAGCACGAGAUGGUAUUAGAGGAAGGGGGGGAAAAUGAAGUGAAGUUGAUAUCUCAAGCAGUACUCAGUACCAUGCAUGUCUUUACAAUCUUUGUAAGUAAUUUCUAUUUUUAUUUCGCAUUGGAACAAUACUUGUACUAAAUAUUGCUGAACUUCCAAAAAAUUUUAUCUUAUGAGAGUAUCUCAUAAUUUCAAGUUGUCAUUUAGAUACUUAAAGACUCGUUCGAUAUGACUUUGCAAACUUGAAAGCUGAUAAUUAUGAGAUUAAGAAACUGUUUUAGAACAUGUUUAGAUAAUUUUUAGAAACUGCAUUGCCUGGCUCGAAGAGCUUUGUUUGGGAGAAUUACGGGAAAAUUGCAAUAUUGGUUCUCAACAGAAUCAUUAUAGAGAUUAUCAAUUCUUAUUAUGUUCGAUACGCUACAUUUUAGUUGUUUGUUGAUCGUCUUGAUCAGUUCAAUGUGUAAUCAAAACCUUUACAACAUAUCUGGUAGGAACGACUAGAAAGAAAAGAAUUCGAGACCUCAACCCUUAGUUGAGUCUAAUACUGCAUACAAAUUGUGCACUCUCGCAUAUCUAAUAAGGGAUAUUGAUUUUGUUCAUCAUUUUUGAUAUAGUUCUCUUGAUUUUACAAGGUGUGUGAGAAUGGUGAGAGGAAAAACUCAGAUGAGGCGUAUAGAAAACGCCACCAGCAGGCAGGUCACCUUUUCCAAGAGAAGAAAUGGGCUGCUGAAAAAAGCUUUUGAGCUUUCAGUUCUUUGUGAUGCUGAGGUUGCACUGAUUAUCUUUUCUCCCAGAGGCAAGCUCUAUGAAUUUUCCAGUUCAAGGUAAGAUCUAUGUGUUUUCGGUAAUUGAAUUUACUUAUAUUUUUAUCAAGAAAAUGCUAUUUUUCAUGCUGCUUGGAUUAAUGAUUCAGAUUUUUUGUGGGUUUUAUGAAAUGACCAAACUAGUAUUAAUCUGAAUCAGAUCUUACAGUUUUUAUCACCUAAAAAUGCCGCGUAGGGCUUCUGUCUGAUCAUGAUGAAAUUUUCUUUGUUGUUCGCUGUUAGGGUUACGACCAAACGGAAAAAUUUCCCAUGGAACAAAGAUCUUCAGAAAUGAACCAGCUUUCUCCCUAUUUGUUAAGAUAAUAAAUUCAAGUCCUUAUGCCACUUAUGAACAAUUUUGCUGCUGACUUAAGAACCCUAUUAAAAUUUUACAAUUUUGAUUGAGAUUCCAUUAAUUAAACCAAAAUUGAGGGAAGUACUACUGUUGGUUUCUUUUGGGUUUUGUUUAAUAGGAGGAAAUGAUUAGUAUUUAGCAUACUUAGAGUUAGUUUCUGCCUCUUAUCAUAAGAUUAACAUAAAAUAGUUGCUUAUAUAAUAGCAACUUAUAUGAUGUUAUUAAUUAAUUAACCCUUUGUUCGAAGUAAAUUUGAAAAUUUGAAGCCGGUUACGUUGAUAUUUAUAACACACUGCUAUAUCACUUUGAUCGCUAGAUCUACUUCUAUCUUUUAGUUUGACUUUUAAUACAAGGCAAAAGUAUGGGAUAUAAUCUUAUUACUAUGUUCAGAAUCUCAGUGUACUUCCAAGAAAACUACAGAGAACAAUCAACUAUUUUAGUGUACUUAUACGAGUCAUUUCAUGUGAUUUUUGGC
rnacentral:lncRNA from 1 species